rnacentral:rRNA from 1 species
GAACGCUGGCGGCGUGCCUAAUACAUGCAAGUCGAGCGAACAGAUAAGGAGCUUGCUCCUUUGACGUUAGCGGCGGACGGGUGAGUAACACGUGGAUAACCUACCUAUAAGACUGGGAUAACUUCGGGAAACCGGAGCUAAUACCGGAUAACAUAUUGAACCGCAUGGUUCAAUAGUGAAAGGCGGCUUUGCUGUCACUUAUAGAUGGAUCCGCGCCGUAUUAGCUAGUUGGUAAGGUAACGGCUUACCAAGGCAACGAUACGUAGCCGACCUGAGAGGGUGAUCGGCCACACUGGAACUGAGACACGGUCCAGACUCCUACGGGAGGCAGCAGUAGGGAAUCUUCCGCAAUGGGCGAAAGCCUGACGGAGCAACGCCGCGUGAGUGAUGAAGGUCUUCGGAUCGUAAAACUCUGUUAUCAGGGAAGAACAAAUGUGUAAGUAACUGUGCACAUCUUGACGGUACCUGAUCAGAAAGCCACGGCUAACUACGUGCCAGCAGCCGCGGUAAUACGUAGGUGGCAAGCGUUAUCCGGAAUUAUUGGGCGUAAAGCGCGCGUAGGCGGUUUUUUAAGUCUGAUGUGAAAGCCCACGGCUCAACCGUGGAGGGUCAUUGGAAACUGGAAAACUUGAGUGCAGAAGAGGAAAGUGGAAUUCCAUGUGUAGCGGUGAAAUGCGCAGAGAUAUGGAGGAACACCAGUGGCGAAGGCGACUUUCUGGUCUGUAACUGACGCUGAUGUGCGAAAGCGUGGGGAUCAAACAGGAUUAGAUACCCUGGUAGUCCACGCCGUAAA